GAACAUGAACGAACUUUUGAGUCCAAAAAAAGAAUUUAAUUUAAUAUUUUUAUGUAUUUAUUUAAACUUGGACACAGUUGAUUUAACAUUUCAUUCUCAGUUGGAAAAAUCAUGAAUAGAUAAAGGAAAAUCUAGACGGAAUUGAGAUGGAUUUCGGCCACCGUCAUGGCGGCGGAGUUGCCGGAAAAUGGAAGAGGAAGCCCACAAUUCUCCACACUCACAGAACACCGCUCCUCCUCGCCGCCUUCACAGUAAUCGUUCUCUUCAUCUCCUCGAAAAUCUUCAUUUCUCCUUCUCUCCUUCCACUUUCCCGAGACUCACGGCCUCCCCUCGGGCGGCGAUGCGCCAGCUCCACAGGGGAGAAGUUCCUCUGGUAUGCGCCCCACAGUGGGUUCAGCAACCAGCUCUCCGAGUUCAGGAACGCUAUUAUAAUGGCCGCUAUUCUGAAUCGAACGCUGAUUGUGCCUCCUGUUCUGGAUCACCACGCCGUCGCCCUCGGGAGUUGCCCCAAAUUUAGGGUUUUGGAUCCGAAUGAGUUGAGAUUCAGAGUGUGGAACCACAGUAUUCAGCUUAUCCGUGAUCGCAGGUACUUAUCCAUGGCCGAUAUAGUUGAUCUUUCAUCUCUAGUGGCCACUUCAGCUGUCAGAUUUAUGGACUUCAGGGUUUUUGUGUCAGAGUGGUGUGAUGUGAAUCUCAAUUUGGCUUGCACUGUAGACUCAAGUAUGCAUUCGUCGUUGCUCGAGAAACUAAGACAGUGUGGAUCACUACUAUCUGGAUUCGAUGGCAAUGUGGAUGCUUGCUUAUUUGCUUCCCAAGAAGAUUGCAGAACAACGGUAUGGACAUAUCAAACAGAUGAUGGGGUUUUGGAUUCAUUUCAAGCUGACAAAGAACUCAAGAAAAAAAGGAAAAUUUCAUCUUCGAGGACAAGGAAAGAUGUUUUUAGGGCCCUUGGUCCUGGUUCUACAGCUGGAUCAGCAACUGUCCUGGCCUUCGGGAGCCUAUUUACUGGACCAUAUAAAGGGUCUGAAUCGCAUGUUGACAUACGUGAAGCUCCAAACGAUCAAAGGAUACAGUUACUAAUUCAGAAGAUUGAAUUUCUUCCAUUUGUGUCUGAAAUCUUAAAUGCCGGGAAGAGUUUUGCACACCAGACAAUUAGCGCUCCGUUUCUUUGUGCACAGCUUAGGUUAUUGGAUGGUCAGUUCAAGAACCACUGGGACGCUACUUUCCAAGUAUUGAAGCAAACGCUAGACUCGUUAAAACAGAAGGGUUCUCUCCCAAUUCAUGUAUUCAUAAUGACCGAUCUUCCCCGGCUUAAUUGGACCGAAAGUUAUCUGGGGAAUCUCGAAAAAGAGUCUGAUGCUUUUAAGCUGUUUGUACUGAGAGAAGACGAUGAAUUAGUAGCUCAAACUGCUAAGAAACUUGUAAAUGCAGCAUAUGGGUUGAAGCUUCAAUCUGUUUCUAGCAGUUUUGAUGGAAGAGAGCAACAGUGCAGUCCUCUGUCAUUACCUGAUAUACCACUAUAUGUUGAAGAAACUAUCUGCAGCUGUGCUUCUCUAGGUUUCAUUGGGACUGCUGGCUCAACCAUUGCCAAUAGCAUAGAAUUGAUGAGAAAAAAUCGUGCAUGUUCAUGAUGAAGAUAGAUGGAUGCGAGACAUAAUUAACUGUUGAUGAAACCUCAUUGAUGGAACUAGAGAUAGACGCGAGACUGGACAAAGUAUAAUGGAGCAUAUAAGGUCCCCGUUCGAGACACUAGAAAUAUGAGAUAACCUCAUCAUCUGAAGGUAGUUAAUGAGUCACAGGCUUAAAGAAUCGAAGUGAUACCACAUGAAUUUCCCAGUUCUCAACAAAAUGGCAAAUUCUCUCUCAAGACCUACUCCACGAAACUCAUGAGGCGAGGGAAGUGGAAGCUCCUUGCUGAGGUUCAUCCUUGCAAAUACUAUCUCAAGAGAUUUCCAAUAGUUGUGGGAGUCAAAUGAGAAGAAAUGGCACAAGUUCAGCAUUUACCAAUAUCCCAUGUUUUCUGGAAUGUUUUGUCUGGCAGUUGCAGAGCAACAUUCUUCAUUUCUAUUCAAUCAUCACCCAAAAAAAAAAAAAAAAUCUUUGUAUUCAAAUCCAAUCCAACUAAUUGAUGUAAUUUACACCUUCAAGUAAAAAUGGUAAACUUGUAGUAUAUCACAAAAACAAUCACUCUUUCCUAUGAAUGUAUCUCUAUCACACAAACUAAGCCAAAAAAACCCAAAAGAAUGCCUCAAUCUUGCGAGGAUAACCAAACAAAAAAAAACCAACACCUCAAUUGAUAAACCUCCAUUGCUUCUCCUUAUCUUCUUUAUCAUCAGCAGGCACCCACCAAACCCUCAAACUCCUAUCAAGACUCCCACUAUAGAGCAUGAAGCCGCCGCCGACCCUCACCGGCGACGCCUGCAGGCACUUCACCGGGCCUUGGUGGCCCUUGAUCACCAUAUGCCUAACCAGCCCACCACUCACCUCUCUCCUCCACACACACACACUCUUAUCCGCCGAGCCACUGCACAGCAUCAUCCCCCCCAUCAAGCACACACACAGCACCGCCGUCUCAUGCCCCCUCACGUCGCACAUGGCCCUCCACGUCCACCCCUCAUCACAGAACCACCCCAUCAAGCUCCCAUCCGAGCCACCCCCAUACACAAAAUCCCCAUCAUCAGUGACCACCACGGAGUUGAACGACACAUCCUUGUGCCCUUCCAAGACCCCUCUACACGAAUGACCCCUCCUCGUCCCGGCCUCCCUCGCCCACGCCUUGAUCCUGCCAUCGGCCGAGGCAGAGUAGACCACCCCAUUCCCGGUACUGAGGCCGUUGAUGGCGUCAUCGUGCGCCUUGAUCGACUCGAGGCACUUGAAAUCCGACACCCGCCACACCUUGAUGGUCUUGUCCCACGAGCCGGAGUAGAUGAGGCCGGCGGAGACGGCCAGGCACGAGAUGGUGUCGGCGUGCUCGAUCCAGAGGAGCUUGUGGUGGCGCCUCGUCUGCACGUAGUUGCUCUGCUUCAUGAACUUCCCCAAAUAGUCCUUGGUUGUGGGGAGGGUGUCGAUCAGCUUGAACACAUUCUCGGAGCUUCUAGAAACCUUCCACGCCCUAAUCCUGCUGUCUUGAUGCGCCGUGAAAACCCUGUUCCCGGCGGUGACCAGCGCCUUGACGGCGCCGUCGCCCUGCCCGAACUUGGUGAAUUGGCGCAAAUCCGGCUGCUGCCACACGAUGAUGUCUUUGCCCUGGGAGGCGCUGAGGAUGAACUCGCCGCAGAGGGCCAGGCAAGAAACCGAUCCCACGUGGCCGGAGAGGACUGCCAGGGAUUUGUAGGAUUGCGAGCAGGUGAUCUUGAAAUUGAGGGCUUGGAAAUCGUAUCGGAAUGAAGGCGCGGGGCUCUCGUCGGCGUCGGCGUCGCUGCUGUUGCUGCUGCUGGUGGUGGUGUUGCUGCGCGUCGAGCUUGCUGAUAGCAAUGGCGUUGAAUCUUGGAGGGGGUCGUGGUGAUUUGCAGAUUGAAGCAUUUUUGUUAAAUUGAAUUGAAUUGGGGGAGGAAUUGAUUGGAAGAUUUGAGGAAAUUCCCAAAGAAACGAACAACUAUAUAUACAUCUAGAGAGAGAGAGAGAGGAGCGGAGUUGGGAGAGAGAAUGGAA